UUUUUCAUAUAUCUCACGGUCUAAAGGUCCAACUUCUUCCAUCCUCUCAAUCACUUCUAACUCUUUCUUAAUAUUAGCCUUCCUCUUCCUAUCAUGCCCAAAAUCAUUAGACCCCACCCUUUGAAAUACUUCUUAAUGCGCUUAAGCUUGAUAUUAAGAACAUCAAUAGGAUCAUCAACACCAACCGGUUGUUCCCAAAUACUUUUUUCCUUAGGGUAAAAUUCUUCAUUAUUUAACCAACAAAGCUCGAACCUAAACUCACGAACAAUAGGAGUCCCAUGUUUGAUGGCAUCGGAAGAAAACAUCAGACACAUCUCUAACAAGUUUACGCCCCGACACCAAAGGGUACAUAUCCUCCC
rnacentral:lncRNA from 1 species